CUACGGGACGCACCAGUGAGGAAUAUUGCACAAUGGGGGGAACCCUGAUGCAGCAACGCCGCGUGGAGGAUGACGCAUUUCGGUGUGUAAACUCCUUUUAUAUGUCAAGAAAAUGACGGUAGCAUAUGAAUAAGCACCGGCUAACUCCGUGCCAGCAGCCGCGGUAAUACGGAGGGUGCAAGCGUUACUCGGAAUCACUGGGCGUAAAGGACGCGUAGGCGGGUUGGAUAGUCAGGUGUGAAAUCCUACAGCUUAACUGUAGAACUGCACUUGAAACUUCUAAUCUAGAGUAUGGGAGGGGGAGAUGGAAUUAGUGGUGUAGGGGUAAAAUCCGUAGAUAUCACUAGGAAUACCUAAAGCGAAGGCGAUCUCCUGGAACAUUACUGACGCUAAGGCGUGAAAGCGUGGGGAGUAAACAGGAUUAGAUACCCCAGUAGUC
rnacentral:rRNA from 1 species